rnacentral:rRNA from 1 species
GAGUUUGAUCGUGGCUCAGAUUGAACGCUGGCGGCAGGCCUAACACAUGCAAGUCGAGCGGAUGAAGGGAGCUUGCUCCUGGAUUCAGCGGCGGACGGGUGAGUAAUGCCUAGGAAUCUGCCUGGUAGUGAGGGAUAACGUCCGGAAACGGGCGCUAAUACCGCAUACGUCCUGAGGGAGAAAGUGGGGGAUCUUCGGACCUCACGCUAUCAGACGAGCCUAGGUCGGAUUAGCUAGUUGGUGGGGUAAAGGCCUACCAAGGCGACGAUCCGUAACUGGUCUGAGAGGAUGAUCAGUCACACUGGAACUGAGACACGGUCCAGACUCCUACGGGAGGCAGCAGUGGGGAAUAUUGGACAAUGGGCGAAAGCCUGAUCCAGCCAUGCCGCGUGUGUGAAGAAGGUCUUCGGAUUGUAAAGCACUUUAAGUUGGGAGGAAGGGCGAGUAAGUUAAUACCUUGCUGUUUUGACGUUACCAACAGAAUAAGCACCGGCUAACUUCGUGCCAGCCGCCGC